GGCCGCCUGGCGAAAUGGCAUCGCGUCUGACUACGAUUCAGCGUUCAUCAGGAGAUUGCAGGUUCGACCCCUGCGGUGGUCA
rnacentral:tRNA from 1 species